AAAACUCUUCUAUUCUACAUAAAACGAAAUUUGCCCCCAUCUUCAGAGCUCCUCCCUCCCCUCCCCCAAAAUCCACCAUAUCCAGACUAGUCGACGGAUCAGCCACCCAACAGACGCCAAGUAACGAAUCACCUUACUUGGCUGAGCUUCGGGAACGCCAAAUCAUGGACGGAAAGCACCGUGCGACGCUGGGUCACGACCGUACGCCGCGAGCCCACAGCCACCAUACUUCGCUCAAGAACCACCACACGCCCGCUGGGAUGAACCGCCACCGUACAAAGAUCUACAAAGAAUUUUCUACUCUUUGGGAAGGGACGUCACCAUUUGAAUAAUUAAUCUUGUGGACUGUUGUGUUGUAUUACCAAUUCCAAAGUCCAAAUGAUUCAGUUGAGGAUUGGGAGGCCAGUGGCGGUAAACUUUCUGUGUGGGUGAAGAAACAAAGGUGAAACACCCGAAGUGUUUGAUAAAAAGUUUCAGAGAAGCCGCGGGAAGAGUUUGGAGAAGAGGAAGAGUCAUUAACAAGGUCGAUUGACCAAUUAUUCAAUCAUCGACCUUGUUAAUGACCCACAAAAUAUUCAAUUCAAAUUUAUCCAAAUCUCAAUUUUAUCUGUGGAUAAUUUCUUUUCUAAGAUAUUUGUAUAGAAGAAUAGCUUUCAUACGGGAAGGAAUUGAAUUUGAAAAUUUGCUA